rnacentral:lncRNA from 10 species
UCAGCCUCCCAAAGUGCUGGGAUUACAGGUGUGAGCCACCACACCAGGCCCAUUCAAUAUAUUUUACUAAAACAGUUAGCGGUUGAAUAUGAACAUAAUGGCUCAGUUUUCCAUACUAUCUAAUUUUAGCCCAGUCAUUCUUUGCAGGAUCACAUAGAUUUUCAUCGGCCCCUUUAGUUCUAGAACACUAAGUGGAAAAAAAAGUAAGAUUUUGUUUCCAAAAGAUCAAUGAAAAUGGCUAGAGUAAACCAUGGAAUAGACGUUUUCAAAAUUCCAAAUGUAACUCCUCGUGUAAAAGUAGAGCAGAAUAAGACAAGUGUAUGUUUGGCUUUUCAUGUAGAAAAAAGAAAAGGUUCUGAUUAUCAGGCCUGGGUCUCUAACUUGCACUCCAGAGGAGGCCUCCUUUGGUUUUGAUCGGCAAAAUGGGGAUAACAAAACCUAUAUCACAGAUGUAUUAUAAGGAUUAAAGGAGGUAACAUGGAAAACAGCAGCAAAGAACCUGAGCUCACAUUGUCCAUACUAUGCAAGGUUUUCUAAAUUUUACAAAUACGUAAGAAUAUAAGGUAGAGAAUGCAAGUAAGCCCUGUCACUGGAGGAAAAAAUAUUAGUCUAGUAAAAGUAUGCAGAUCAGAUGAGACCCCACUGAGUUAGAAAAUGUUUUUCUAAUAUGCAGAGAUCUUCAGUGAUUACGAUCUUUAUUGACGAUGGGGAAAUCAUUAGGUUUCCAACUUGAUCUACUUUUCUAACACUCAAACUACCAGACACACAAGCUACUUGGCUAAUUAGGAAGUUCAUUUUUUUUCUAUAGCCCACUGUUGACAAAUUUGUCAACUUGGAGAAAAACUGUUUCAAUAAAUAUCUCCUCUAAAAGGAGGAGAAAGUCAUCUAAAUACAGGCUUUCAUGGGAAGAAAUAUCCCUAUUUGGCACUCUGGAAUAAUAAAAGUUUUAUUCUUAUAAGUCUAAAAUAUCAAAACUAGGGCUCGGUGUGGUGGCUUAUGCCUGUAAUCUCAGCACUUUGGGAGGCUGAGGCAAGAGGAUCACUUGAGCCCGGGAGGUAGAGGCUGCAGUUAGCUAUGAUCACACCACUGCACUGGGCAACAGAGCAAGACCCUGUCUCAAAUAUAAAUAAAGUAACAAAACUAAAAUAGUUUAUGGAUAUACUUACCAGUCUGAGUAUGUAACAAUCUGCCAGAGAAAAAUUCAUGUCCCAAGGGAAUUUGUGUAUUUAUUCAAUAAAUGUUUAUUGA